rnacentral:rRNA from 1 species
AUUGAACGCUGGCGGCAGGCUUAACACAUGCAAGUCGAGCGGAGAUGAGGUGCUUGCACCUUAUCUUAGCGGCGGACGGGUGAGUAAUGCUUAGGAAUCUGCCUAUUAGUGGGGGACAACAUUCCGAAAGGAAUGCUAAUACCGCAUACGUCCUACGGGAGAAAGCAGGGGAUCUUCGGACCUUGCGCUAAUAGAUGAGCCCAAGUAGGAUUUGCUAGUUGGUGGGGUAAAGGCCUACCAAGGCGACGAUCUGUAGCGGGUCUGAGAGGAUGAUCCGCCACACUUGGACUGAGACACGGCCCAGACUCCUACGGGAGGCAGCAGUGGGGAAUAUUGGACAAUGGGGGGAACCCUGAUCCAGCCAUGCCGCGUGUGUGAAGAAGGCCUUAUGGUUGUAAAGCACUUUAAGCGAGGAGGAGGCUACUGAGACUAAUACUCUUGGAUAGUGGACGUUACUCGCAGAAUAAGCACCGGCUAACUCUGUGCCAGCAGCCGCCGUAACAC